rnacentral:rRNA from 1 species
UGCAAGUCGAGCGAACAGACGAGGAGCUUGCUCCUCUGACGUUAGCGGCGGACGGGUGAGUAACACGUGGAUAACCUACCUAUAAGACUGGGAUAACUUCGGGAAACCGGAGCUAAUACCGGAUAAUAUAUUGAACCGCAUGGUUCAAUAGUGAAAGACGGUUUUGCUGUCACUUAUAGAUGGAUCCGCGCCGCAUUAGCUAGUUGGUAAGGUAACGGCUUACCAAGGCAACGAUGCGUAGCCGACCUGAGAGGGUGAUCGGCCACACUGGAACUGAGACACGGUCCAGACUCCUACGGGAGGCAGCAGUAGGGAAUCUUCCGCAAUGGGCGAAAGCCUGACGGAGCAACGCCGCGUGAGUGAUGAAGGUCUUCGGAUCGUAAAACUCUGUUAUUAGGGAAGAACAAAUGUGUAAGUAACUAUGCACGUCUUGACGGUACCUAAUCAGAAAGCCACGGCUAACUACGUGCCAGCAGCCGCGGUAAUACGUAGGUGGCAAGCGUUAUCCGGAAUUAUUGGGCGUAAAGCGCGCGUAGGCGGUUUUUUAAGUCUGAUGUGAAAGCCCACGGCUCAACCGUGGAGGGUCAUUGGAAACUGGAAAACUUGAGUGCAGAAGAGGAAAGUGGAAUUCCAUGUGUAGCGGUGAAAUGCGCAGAGAUAUGGAGGAACACCAGUGGCGAAGGCGACUUUCUGGUCUGUAACUGACGCUGAUGUGCGAAAGCGUGGGGAUCAAACAGGAUUAGAUACCCUGGUAGUCCACGCCGUAAACGAUGAGUGCUAAGUGUUAGGGGGUUUCCGCCCCUUAGUGCUGCAGCUAACGCAUUAAGCACUCCGCCUGGGGAGUACGACCGCAAGGUUGAAACUCAAAGGAAUUGACGGGGACCCGCACAAGCGGUGGAGCAUGUGGUUUAAUUCGAAGCAACGCGAAGAACCUUACCAAAUCUUGACAUCCUCUGACCCCUCUAGAGAUAGAGUUUUCCCCUUCGGGGGACAGAGUGACAGGUGGUGCAUGGUUGUCGUCAGCUCGUGUCGUGAGAUGUUGGGUUAAGUCCCGCAACGAGCGCAACCCUUAAGCUUAGUUGCCAUCAUUAAGUUGGGCACUCUAAGUUGACUGCCGGUGACAAACCGGAGGAAGGUGGGGAUGACGUCAAAUCAUCAUGCCCCUUAUGAUUUGGGCUACACACGUGCUACAAUGGACAAUACAAAGGGCAGCGAAACCGCGAGGUCAAGCAAAUCCCAUAAAGUUGUUCUCAGUUCGGAUUGUAGUCUGCAACUCGACUAUA